GAAUUUUGCGCAAUGGGCGAAACCCUGACGCAGCAACGCCGCGUGAGUGAUGAAGGCUUUCGGGUCGUAAAGCUCUGUCAAGUGAGAAGAACCUAUCUCGCGCUAAUACCGCGAGAUACUGACGGUAUCACUGAAGGAAGCACCGGCUAACUCCGUGCCAGCAGCCGCGGUAAUACGGGGGGUGCAAGCGUUAUUCGGAAUUAUUGGGCGUAAAGGGCGCGCAGGCGGCCUCUUAAGUCAGAUGUGAAAGCCCGGGGCUUAACCCCGGAGGUGCAUUUGAAACUAAGGGGCUUGAGUAUGGGAGAGGGAAGUGGAAUUCCUGGUGUAGCGGUGAAAUGCGUAGAUAUCAGGAGGAACACCGGUGGCGAAGGCGACUUCCUGGACCAAUACUGACGCUGAGGCGCGAAGGCGUGGGGAGCAAACAGGAUUAGAUACCCUGGUAGUCCACGCAGUAAACGGUGAACACUAGGUGUAGCGGGUAUUGACCCCUGCUGUGCCGCAGCUAACGCAUUAAGUGUUCCACCUGGGGAGUACCGACGCAAGAUUAAAACUCAAAGGAAUUGACG
rnacentral:rRNA from 1 species